rnacentral:rRNA from 1 species
CUUGGCGACCAUAGCAUUGUGGACCCACCUGAUUCCAUGCCGAACUCAGAAGUGAAACACAAUAGCGCCGAUGGUAGUGUGGGGCUUCCCCAUGUGAGAGUAGGACAUCGCCAG